CCUACGGGAGGCUGCAGUGAGGAAUAUUGGUCAAUGGACGAGAGUCUGAACCAGCCAAGCCGCGUGAAGGAUGAAUGCUCUCUGGUUUGUAAACUCUUUUUAUAUGGGAAUAAAGUGUUCGACGCCUCGGAUUUUGUAUGUACCUUACUAAUAAGCAUCGGCUAACUCCGUGCCAGCAGCCGGGGUAAUACGGAGGAUCAGAGCGUUUUCCGGAUUUAUUGGGUUUAAAGGGAGCGUAGGGGGAUUGUUAAGUCAGUUGUGAAAGUUCGCGGCUCAACCGUGGACGUGCAGUUGAAACUGGCAGUCUUGAGUACAGUAGAGGUGGGCGGAAUUCGUGGUGUAGCGGUGAAAUGCUUAGAUAUCACGAAGAACUCCGAUUGCGAAGGCAGCUCACUGGACGGCAACUGACGGUGAGGCGCGAAAGUGUGGGGAUCAAACAGGAUUAGAUACCCGGGUAGUC
rnacentral:rRNA from 1 species